rnacentral:rRNA from 1 species
CCUACGGGAGGCAGCAGUGAGGAAUUUUGGUCAAUGGACGAGAGCCUGAACCAGCCAAGUAGCGUGAAGGAUGACUGCCCUAUGGGUUGUAAACUUCUUUUAUAUGGGAGUAAAAUGUUCCACGUGUGGGAUUUUGUAUGUACCAUAUGAAUAAGGAUCGGCCAACUCCGUGCCAGCAGCCGCGGUAAUACGGAGGAUUCGAGCGUUAUCCGGAUUUAUUGGGUUUAAAGGGAGGGUAGGGGGAUUGGUAAGUGAGUUGUGAAAGUUCGGGGCUCAAACGUAGAAUUGCAGUUGAAACUGGCAGUCUUGAGUACAGGAGAGGUGAGCGGAAUUCGUGGUGUAGCAGUGAAAUGCGUAGAUAUCACGAAGAACUCCGAUUGCGAAGGCAGCUCACUGGACUGCAACUGACGCUGAGGCACGAAAGUGUGGGUAUCGAACGGGAUUAGAUACCCCUGUAGUC